UUUUAGCCCUGAUGCUUGAAUUGUUUUCACAAUUCCCUUUUAUGGUAUCGUUUUUUCUAAUGAGACCACAAAAGAUAUAGUGGACAGCAGGAUUAGCU
rnacentral:sRNA from 1 species